GGGUUGUGAGGUUAAGUGACUAAGCGUACACGGUGGAUGCCUAGGCAGUCAGAGGCGAUGAAGGGCGUGCUAAUCUGCGAAAAGCGUCGGUAAGGUGAUAUGAACCGUUACAACCGGCGAUACCCGAAUGGGGAAACCCAGUGUGUUUCGACACACUAUCAUGUCAUGAAUACAUAGUGGCAUGAGGCGAACCGGGGGAACUGAAACAUCUAAGUACCCCGAGGAAAAGAAAUCAACCGAGAUUCCCCCAGUAGCGGCGAGCGAACGGGGAGGAGCCCAGAACCUGAAUCGGCUUGUGUGUUAGUGGAAGCGUCUGGAAAGUCGCGCAGUAAAGGGUGAUAGCCCCGUACACUAAAAUGCACAGGUCGUGAGUUCGAUGAGUAGGGCGGGACACGUGACAUCCUGUCUGAAUAUGGGGGGACCAUCCUCCAAGGCUAAAUACUCCUGACUGACCGAUAGUGAACCAGUACCGUGAGGGAAAGGCGAAAAGAACCCCGGCGAGGGGAGUGAAAUAGAACCUGAAACCGUGUACGUACAAGCAGUGGGAGCACCUUCGUGGUGUGACUGCGUACCUUUUGUAUAAUGGGUCAGCGACUUAUAUUUUGUAGCAAGGUUAACCGUAUAGGGGAGCCGUAGGGAAACCGAGUCUUAACUGGGCGAAUAGUUGCAAGGUAUAGACCCGAAACCCGGUGAUCUAGCCAUGGGCAGGUUGAAGGUUGGGUAACACUAACUGGAGGACCGAACCGACUAAUGUUGAAAAAUUAGCGGAUGACUUGUGGCUGGGGGUGAAAGGCCAAUCAAACCGGGAGAUAGCUGGUUCUCCCCGAAAGCUAUUUAGGUAGCGCCUCGUGAACUCAUCUUCGGGGGUAGAGCACUGUUUCGGCUAGGGGGCCAUCCCGGCUUACCAAACCGAUGCAAACUCCGAAUACCGAAGAAUGUUAUCACGGGAGACACACGGCGGGUGCUAACGUCCGUCGUGAAGAGGGAAACAACCCAGACCGCCAGCUAAGGUCCCAAAGUCAUGGUUAAGUGGGAAACGAUGUGGGAAGGCAUAGACAGCCAGGAUGUUGGCUUAGAAGCAGCCAUCAUUUAAAGAAAGCGUAAUAGCUCACUGGUCGAGUCGGCCUGCGCGGAAGAUGUAACGGGGCUAAACCAUGCACCGAAGCUGCGGCAGCGACGCUUAGGCGUUGUUGGGUAGGGGAGCGUUCUGUAAGCCGUUGAAGGUGGCCUGUGAGGGUUGCUGGAGGUAUCAGAAGUGCGAAUGCUGACAUAAGUAACGAUAAAGCGGGUGAAAAGCCCGCUCGCCGGAAGACCAAGGGUUCCUGUCCAACGUUAAUCGGGGCAGGGUGAGUCGACCCCUAAGGCGAGGCUGAAAAGCGUAGUCGAUGGGAAACAGGUUAAUAUUCCUGUACUUGGUGUUACUGCGAAGGGGGGACGGAGAAGGCUAGGCUAGCCGGGCGACGGUUGUCCCGGUUUAAGCGUGUAGGGGGUGUGACCUGGUAAAUCCGGUUACAUAUCAACCCUGAGGCGUGAUGACGAUGCACUACGGUGCAGAAGUAGUUGAUGCCCUGCUUCCAGGAAAAGCCUCUAAGCUCUAGGUAACAUUGAAUCGUACCCCAAACCGACACAGGUGGUCAGGUAGAGAAUACCAAGGCGCUUGAGAGAACUCGGGUGAAGGAACUAGGCAAAAUGGUGCCGUAACUUCGGGAGAAGGCACGCUGGCAUGUAGGUGAAGUCCCUUGCGGAUGGAGCUGAAGCCAGUCGAAGAUACCAGCUGGCUGCAACUGUUUAAUAAAAACACAGCACUGUGCAAACACGAAAGUGGACGUAUACGGUGUGACGCCUGCCCGGUGCUGGAAGGUUAAUUGAUGGGGUCAGCCGCAAGGCGAAGCUCUUGAUCGAAGCCCCAGUAAACGGCGGCCGUAACUAUAACGGUCCUAAGGUAGCGAAAUUCCUUGUCGGGUAAGUUCCGACCUGCACGAAUGGCGUAAUGAUGGCCAGGCUGUCUCCACCCGAGACUCAGUGAAAUUGAACUCGCUGUGAAGAUGCAGUGUACCCGCGGCAAGACGGAAAGACCCCGUGAACCUUUACUAUAGCUUGACACUGAACAUUGAGCCUUGAUGUGUAGGAUAGGUGGGAGGCUUUGAAGCGUGGACGCCAGUCUGCGUGGAGCCAUCCUUGAAAUACCACCCUUUAAUGUUUGAUGUUCUAACUCGGCCCCAUAAUCUGGGGUGAGGACAGUGUCUGGUGGGUAGUUUGACUGGGGCGGUCUCCUCCCAAAGAGUAACGGAGGAGCACGAAGGUUAGCUAAUCACGGUCGGACAUCGUGAGGUUAGUGCAAAGGCAUAAGCUAGCUUGACUGCGAGAGUGACGGCUCGAGCAGGUACGAAAGUAGGUCUUAGUGAUCCGGUGGUUCUGAAUGGAAGGGCCAUCGCUCAACGGAUAAAAGGUACUCCGGGGAUAACAGGCUGAUACCGCCCAAGAGUUCAUAUCGACGGCGGUGUUUGGCACCUCGAUGUCGGCUCAUCACAUCCUGGGGCUGAAGUAGGUCCCAAGGGUAUGGCUGUUCGCCAUUUAAAGUGGUACGCGAGCUGGGUUUAGAACGUCGUGAGACAGUUCGGUCCCUAUCUGCCGUGGGCGUUGGAAGAUUGAGAGGGGUUGCUCCUAGUACGAGAGGACCGGAGUGAACGCACCACUGGUGUUCGGGUUGUCAUGCCAAUGGCAUUGCCCGGUAGCUAAGUGCGGAAAAGAUAAGCGCUGAAAGCAUCUAAGCGCGAAACUUGCCUCAAGAUGAGUCUUCCCUGGGCCUUUAAGGUCCCUGAAGGAACGUUUAAGACUAAGACGUUGAUAGGCUGGGUGUGUAAGUGCAGCGAUGCAUUGAGCUAACCAGUACUAAUGAUCCGUGAGGCUUAACCUUACAACACCGAAGGUGUUU
rnacentral:rRNA from 1 species